UACGUAGGGGGCUAGCGUUGUUCGGAUUCAUUGGGCGUAAAGGGUGCGUAGGUGGCGCCGUAAGUCAGGUGUGAAAUUUCGAGGCUUAACCUCGAAACUGCAUUUGAUACUGCGGUGCUUGAGGACUGGAGAGGAGACUGGAAUUCAUGGUGUAGCAGUGAAAUGCGUAGAGAUCAUGAGGAAGACCAGUGGCGAAGGCGGGUCUCUGGACAGUUCCUGACACUGAGGCACGAAGGCCAGGGGAGCAAACGGG
rnacentral:rRNA from 1 species